CUACGUGCCAGCAGCCGCGGUAAUACGUAUGUCGCGAGCGUUAUCCGGAAUUAUUGGGCAUAAAGGGCAUCUAGGCGGCCCUGUAAGUCUAGGGUGAAAACCUGCGGCUCAACCGCAGGCCUGCCCCGGAAACUACAGGGCUAGAGUGCUGGAGAGGUGGACGGAACUGCACGAGUAGAGGUGAAAUUCGUAGAUAUGUGCAGGAAUGCCGAUGAUGAAGAUAGUUCACUGGACGGCAACUGACGCUGAAGUGCGAAAGCUAGGGGAGCAAACAGGAUUAGAUACCCUGGUAGUCCUAGCUGUAAACGAUGAUUACUGGGUGUGGGCAUGAAGAGUGUCCGUGCCGAAGCUAAUGCGAUAAGUAAUCCGCCUGGGGAGUACGGCCGCAAGGCUGAAACUCAAAGGAAUUGACGGGGACCCGCACAAGCGGUGGAGCAUGUGGUUUAAUUCGACGCAACGCGAGGAACCUUACCAGAUCUUGACAUCCUG
rnacentral:rRNA from 1 species